AAUAUUAUAGUUAUCAUUUACAUUAAAAAUAAAUUAUCUAUUUUUAGAAAAUUAUUGAUCAAAUUAACUAAAUAGCAAUAACAAUCAAAUUAAGAAAAAAAAUUGAGCUUAUUUAAAAAAAAAUCCAUAAAAAAAAAGCUGAAUUACUAUGAAAACAUUUUGUUUCUACAUUAUUUCCGGAUAAAUUUAUAGGCGGCCUUCCAAAAAAGUCAAAUACUAAAUCCAAACCAAUUUCUACCUCCACCAAUGCUUUGCCACCUCUGGCCUUACGUCA
rnacentral:lncRNA from 1 species